GACCGGCAAACGGGUGCGGAACACGUACAGAACCUACCUUCGAGCGGGGGAUAGCCCAGAGAAAUUUGGAUUAAUACCCCAUAGUAUAUUUGGAUGGCAUCAUUUGAAUAUUAAAGAUUUAUCACUUGAAGAUGGCUGUGCGUAUGAUUAGGUAGUUGGCGGGGUAACGGCCCACCAAGCCUACGAUCAUUAACUGGUGUGAGAGCACGACCAGUCACACGGGCACUGAGACACGGGCCCGACUCCUACGGGAGGCAGCAGUAAGGGAAUCAUUGGUCAAUGGACGCAAGUCUGAACCAGCCAUGCCGCGUGGAGGAUGAAGGUCCUCUGGAUUGUAAACUUCUUUUAUCUGGGACGAAAAAAGGGAAUUCUUUCCCGUCUGACGGUACCAGAUGAAUAAGCACCGGCUAACUCCGUGCCAGCAGCCGCGGUAAUACGGAGGGUGCAAGCGUUAUCCGGAUUCACUGGGUUUAAAGGGUGCGUAGGCGGGUAUGUAAGUCCGUGGUGAAAUCUCCGAGC
rnacentral:rRNA from 1 species